rnacentral:lncRNA from 1 species
GAUUAUCAAUCUUGGAGGUUAAGGUAUUAAAUUUUUUUUAUUGAGCAUGUGUAGUUCAUUGAUUCCCAUUUUUUAGAGCACGAAAACCAAGCAAAAAACUCAAAGAUUAGCCAGAAUAAUGAGAUCUAUAGGGUGUGGAGGAUAUAUAUUAACAUCAGUUAGUGUCUACUUAAUUUUUCAAACUCUAAACCAUUAUCUAGCUUUUUGAAAGUGUUAACAUCUCAUGUCACGGGCUAACUAUUUUAAAUUUCACCAAUGUUGUAAGGGAAGAGGUAAUAGACAAAGUUAAUUUUUUCGUAUUUUAUGUUAAUUCGACUUAGCAUCAAUUUGUGGUUGAUAUGCAUGGAUACUCGUGACUCCAUCUAGAGUACGGGUCAUUCUAGUAUAG